rnacentral:rRNA from 1 species
GGACGGGUGAGGGACGCGAGAGUAACCUGCCUUCAUACAGGGGGAUAACAGGUGGAAACGACUGGUGAUACCGCAUAAGCGCACAGUGCUGCAUAGCAACAGGGUGAGAACUCCGCCGGUAUGAGAUGGACCCGCGUCUGAUUAGGUAGUUGGUGAGGUAACGGCCCACCAAGCCGACGAUCAGUAGCCGACCUGAGAGGGUGACCGGCCACAUUGGGACUGAGACACGGCCCAAACUCNUACGGGAGGCAGCAGUGGGGAAUAUUGGACAAUGGGGGAAACCCUGAUCCAGCGACGCCGCGUGAGUGAAGAAGUAUUUCGGUAUGUAAAGCUCUAUCAGCAGGGAAGAAAAUGACGGUACCUGACUAAGAAGCCCCGGCUAACUACGUGCCAGCAGCCGCGGUAAUACGUAGGGGGCAAGCGUUAUCCGGAUUUACUGGGUGUAAAGGGAGCGUAGACGGCACUGCAAGUCUGGAGUGAAAGCCCGGGGCUCAACCCCGGGACUGCUUUGGAAACUGUGGUGCUGGAGUGCAGGAGAGGUAAGUGGAAUUCCUAGUGUAGCGGUGAAAUGCGUAGAUAUUAGGAGGAACACCAGUGGCGAAGGCGGCUUACUGGGCUGUAACUGACGUUGAGGCUUGAAAGCGUGGGGAGCAAACAGGAUUA